GUGACAGCCGCCGCGGUAAUACGGGGGGAGCAAGCGUUACUCGGAAUUAUUGGGCGUAAAGGGCGCGUAGGCGAUUCAGCAAGUCUUAUGUGAAAGCCCAGGGCCUAACCCUGGAAGUGCACGAGAUACUGCUGAAUUUGAGUUCCGGAGAGGAAGGCAGAAUUCCCGGUGUAGCGGUGAAAUGCGUAGAUAUCGGGAGGAAUACCAGUGGCGAAGGCGGCCUUCUGGACGGAUACUGACGCUGAGGCGCGAAAGCUAGGGGAGCAAACGGGAUUAGAAACCCCCGUAGUCC
rnacentral:rRNA from 1 species